GUAUCAGAAGUGCGAAUGCUGACAUAAGUAACGAUAAAGCGGGUGAAAAGCCCGCUCGCCGGAAGACCAAGGGUUCCUGUCCAACGUUAAUCGGGGCAGGGUGAGUCGACCCCUAAGGCGAGGCCGAAAGGCGUAGUCGAUGGGAAACAGGUUAAUAUUCCUGUACUUGGUGUUACUGCGAAGGGGGGACGGAGAAGGCUAUGUUGGCCGGGCGACGGUUGUCCCGGUUUAAGCGUGUAGGCUGGUUUUCCAGGCAAAUCCGGAAAAUCAAGGCUGAGGCGUGAUGACGAGGCACUACGGUGCUGAAGCAACAAAUGCCCUGCUUCCAGGAAAAGCCUCUAAGCAUCAGGUAACAUCAAAUCGUACCCCAAACCGACACAGGUGGUCAGGUAGAGAAUACCAAGGCGCUUGAGAGAACUCGGGUGAAGGAACUAGGCAAAAUGGUGCCGUAACUUCGGGAGAAGGCACGCUGAUAUGUAGGUGAAGUCCCUCGCGGAUGGAGCUGAAAUCAGUCGAAGAUACCAGCUGGCUGCAACUGUUUAUUAAAAACACAGCACUGUGCAAACACGAAAGUGGACGUAUACGGUGUGACGCCUGCCCGGUGCCGGAAGGUUAAUUGAUGGGGUUAGCGCAAGCGAAGCUCUUGAUCGAAGCCCCGGUAAACGGCGGCCGUAACUAUAACGGUCCUAAGGUAGCGAAAUUCCUUGUCGGGUAAGUUCCGACCUGCACGAAUGGCGUAAUGAUGGCCAGGCUGUCUCCACCCGAGACUCAGUGAAAUUGAACUCGCUGUGAAGAUGCAGUGUACCCGCGGCAAGACGGAAAGACCCCGUGAACCUUUACUAUAGCUUGACACUGAACAUUGAGCCUUGAUGUGUAGGAUAGGUGGGAGGCUUAGAAGUGUGGACGCCAGUCUGCAUGGAGCCGACCUUGAAAUACCACCCUUUAAUGUUUGAUGUUCUAACGUUGACCCGUAAUCCGGGUUGCGGACAGUGUCUGGUGGGUAGUUUGACUGGGGCGGUCUCCUCCUAAAGAGUAACGGAGGAGCACGAAGGUUGGCUAAUCCUGGUCGGACAUCAGGAGGUUAGUGCAAUGGCAUAAGCCAGCUUGACUGCGAGCGUGACGGCGCGAGCAGGUGCGAAAGCAGGUCAUAGUGAUCCGGUGGUUCUGAAUGGAAGGGCCAUCGCUCAACGGAUAAAAGGUACUCCGGGGAUAACAGGCUGAUACCGCCCAAGAGUUCAUAUCGACGGCGGUGUUUGGCACCUCGAUGUCGGCUCAUCACAUCCUGGGGCUGAAGUAGGUCCCAAGGGUAUGGCUGUUCGCCAUUUAAAGUGGUACGCGAGCUGGGUUUAGAACGUCGUGAGACAGUUCGGUCCCUAUCUGCCGUGGGCGCUGGAGAACUGAGGGGGGCUGCUCCUAGUACGAGAGGACCGGAGUGGACGCAUCACUGGUGUUCGGGUUGUCAUGCCAAUGGCACUGCCCGGUAGCUAAAUGCGGAAGAGAUAAGUGCUGAAAGCAUCUAAGCACGAAACUUGCC
rnacentral:rRNA from 1 species